ACUGGAGUCACAUAACUUCCUUCAACAAAACCCAGAGGAAGAACAUCACAUCUAGGAGGGGAUCGAAGAACCUGCGCAGAUAAACCAGCUUAAAAAUCACUGAACCAAGCGAAGGACCCAAACAAUCUAGAAAGCUUAAAUCCCGAACCUCCACGCGCUCAGGCAGAAAACACUCAUACAUGUCGUCAGGAUCCUCCAGCCAAAAAGAUUUGUCUGCCUCCUCACCAAAGAUGCGAAGGAUCGGGUACGACGACUGCAGAGAUAGAUCAAAUCAAAAUCAAAUCAAACAAAACAACACAAUCUGAGACAAGGCCAAACAAAAAACCCACCUAGGCCGGAGGCCAAGAACCUCGGCACGCAAGCGACCGGACGAAUUCAGAUCGUUCGUCAUCAAUGUCAAACUCAACAAACUCAAACAUAUCCACCACACUCAUGCCAGGAAAGGCAAUUCGCCAAUAUUCCCACAAGUCCCC
rnacentral:lncRNA from 1 species